rnacentral:tRNA from 1 species
GCGGGUAUCGUAUAACGGCUAUUAUGGCUCCUUGCCAAGGAGCAAACUGGGGUUCGACUCCCCAUACCCGCACCA